GGUUAAGCGACUAAGCGUACACGGUGGAUGCCCUGGCAGUCAGAGGCGAUGAAGGACGUGCUAAUCUGCGAUAAGCGUCGGUAAGGUGAUAUGAACCGUUAUAACCGGCGAUUUCCGAAUGGGGAAACCCAGUGUGUUUCGUCACACUAUCAUUAACUGAAUCCAUAGGUUAAUGAGGCGAACCGGGGGAACUGAAACAUCUAAGUACCCCGAGGAAAAGAAAUCAACCGAGAUUCCCCCAGUAGCGGCGAGCGAACGGGGAGCAGCCCAGAGCCUGAAUCAGUGUGUGUGUUAGUGGAAGCGUCUGGAAAGGCGCGCGAUACAGGGUGACAGCCCCGUACACAAAAAUGCACAUGCUGUGAGCUCGAUGAGUAGGGCGGGACACGUGGUAUCCUGUCUGAAUAUGGGGGGACCAUCCUCCAAGGCUAAAUACUCCUGACUGACCGAUAGUGAACCAGUAC
rnacentral:rRNA from 1 species